GAGUUUGAUCCUGGCUCAGAGCGAACGCUGGCGGCAGGCUUAACACAUGCAAGUCGAACGGUCCUUCGGGAUAGUGGCGGACGGGUGAGUAACACGUGGGAACGUACCCUUAGGUUCGGAACAACACAGGGAAACUUGUGCUAAUACCGGAUAAGCCCCUUCGGGGAAAGAUUUAUCGCCUUUGGAGCGGCCCGCGUCUGAUUAGCUUGUUGGUGAGGUAAUGGCUCACCAAGGCUACGAUCAGUAAGCUGGUCUGAGAGGAUGGCCAGCCACACUGGGACUGAGACACGGCCCCAGACUCCUACGGGAGGCAGCAGUGGGGAAUCUUGCGCAAUGGGCGAGAGCCUGACGCAGCCAUGCCGCGUGGAUGAUGAAGGU
rnacentral:rRNA from 1 species